rnacentral:tRNA from 1 species
GGGAGUGGUUGGGGCCCGGUGGCUUCCUCCGUCUUCAAAACGGCUGCUCCGUCGCCAGCGCGGCGGAGGGUGGGUUCGACUCCCAUGCACUCCCGCCA